UUAUUUCUUGCAUCUCACUGUCACUGUGAUUCAUUUUAUUGUAUCUUACUGUUUUAUUAAAAAUUAACGAAGAGUCACCAUCUGGGAACAAAGUCAUGAAGUUGUGAAGAACCUAUUCAUGCCAGCUGAAAUCCAAGGACAUGCUGUGGCUGACUUCAGUAGAUCUUAAGGUCUGCCUUCAAACCAAGGUUGCCACAAAGGUCAUUUUGGAAUUCCCUUCGUAAUGAAGCAAGCAGCAUUGCUCUUAUCCAGAGAACAACCCUGCUGAGUCAGUCCUCUAUUUUCAUGCUGAGGGGGAGAGGCAAGUCAGCUGCAUUUGCCGCAGAGAAGCAUACACAGAAAUGGCAGAUCUUACCAAGGUUUAAUCAUCUGUUGAAGAUGUACAUAUCUUCUCCUGAUGUUGAGUUGCAUCUUUGCAUGUUCAAUGAAUGUUCAUAUGUUUCAGAGUUGGAAAACAAGCGUACAAGGGCAACCUUGAGCAAAGAGAUGACUUCAGGUUGCUGUGUUGGGUCUUAAAUUUCUCAGUGCUUCAGCUGUCUGGUCAGUGAAGGAGUUUAUAGAUGGCUGUAAAAGGGAGAUAAGUACUUUAUUUAAGUGUCUAAAUGGAAAGUAAGUGUCUAA
rnacentral:lncRNA from 14 species